rnacentral:lncRNA from 1 species
GGGUUGUAACUGUCUGAAUCCUGAUAGCAGACCUGAGCAGCAAAACUCCAGGAGGCAAUGUUCUUUGCUUAUGGACUGACUGAGUGGGUCUCUACUAAGUCUGUCAAGAAGGAAGUGUCAUCCUGCUGUCUCUGUCUUCACCAGUAAACAAGUGCCCACAGGACAGAAGAGAGAGAAACUCAACCGGUGACCUGUGUGGAGAGAGGGGCAAGCUGGCAAGGCAGCUUGUCCAUGGGGAGACAGGAAGGUUGUUUCUCCUUGCUGGCUCCCUGCAGUGGCUGUGUUUGGGUUGUAUUACAACCCUGUUCCUGGGCUCGUGAAGAUAGGACAAGCCACCUGAGCCUCGAGUCUGAGGGAGAAUCCAGAAGGAAGUGGCUCAGUCCUUUCUCUGUCUCAAGACCUUCUACAAAGCUCCAACGACCUCACUGCCUCAGCAGAAGCGCAAACUAAGUUUAUGGUGUCACCGGAUUAUACUUCUGUCCACUGAGGGUGUGGUGGGAAACAGGCCGGAGCAACGGUAGCCAUUGCAGAAGGAGGAAAACAGAAAUAACUGAAUGUCAAGGACAGCCAUUCAUUCUCAGGCCCGCAGCUGCUGCAGCAGAGUGCUGGCUCAGGCAGACUGCAGGACGUGCAUGGCAUUGCACGUCUAGGGACCGCAGGAGCUGAGAGAGCAGUGUGGUGAAAUCUGCAUGCUCACACAGCGGCCCAGGGUUUAUUUCAUCUUACAGGUCAACAGUCCCCCCCAUAAAGGAACAGCAGGGCUGGAACUCAAGGCAGAAAUCUGGAAGCAAGGACUGAAGAGGAGGCCUGGGAGGUUCCAGGGAUUGAACUCAGGCAGCCAGCUCUUCCACAGCAUCCAACGCUGCCUGGGUGUUUGAGAGCCUGAGAGCCAGAGGCCCGGGGACCCCCAAACUAUCUCCAGCUGUCCCGCACCUCACACCGUGCCUCCCCACCCUUGGAGCGGUGUCCCUUGGUUUCCCCAUAGCCUGACACCAACCCAGCAACAGCGACAGCGUGGGGAGGCUGUGAACGUAACUGCACCUGUAUUCACACUAUCAUCUGAAUUCCCAAUGCCUAGUGCAGUGUCUGGCAUAGAGUCAUGGCUCUCGGAGCAGUUCCAGUGAAGCAGCUCACCCACCCCCUAGCUGCCUUCCCACCCAGACACAUGAGAAAAUGUCCCGUUAGCCCUUCCAGUCAUGCGAAUGAGGCCACGAUUGAUUCAAAGGCAGUGGGCAAGGAGGAGGCCGCAUGGAGCAGUCAGAAAGAACCAGCCCUUUGUGCUGCAGCAGGGUCCUUGGGGGCUACGCAAGUCUCAUUAACUUGCUUACACUGGAUUUGAACUUACUCUCUGUUGCCUGGGAGGUCUUGAACCUGUGAUGCCUCCUACCUACCUCAGCUUCCUGAGAAACUGGGAUCACAGGCCUAAUUGCCAGGCAUGGCCAAAUUGUGUGUGUGUGUGUAUCUCUCUCUCUCUCUCUCUCUCUCUCUCUCUCUCUCUCUCUGUGUGUGUGUGUGUGUGUAUGUGUGUGUAUGAGAGAGAGAGCAUGCGCAAUGCAUAGACUCAUGCACACACACAUAUACGCGUAUACACAUAUGUGUGCACAUGCAGAUAAAAGGCUGACACUGAACAUCUGUCUUAUUUACCUAUUUUUCUGAUGCAGAGUCUUUCACUGUAUCUGGAGCACACUGAUUCAUUGAGAUGCCUCAUCAGGAUGCUCCCAGCAUUCCUGUUUCCAUUUCCCUAGCCUUGGGAUUACACGUACACGCUGUUUGCACUCAAUGUUUGACCUGGGAGCUGGUCAAAAGGUUUCAUGCUUGUAUGCUUAAGUUGUUUACUGGUCUAGCCUUCUCUCUAGAUCCUUUGCUUUCAUUUUACACGUGGGGAAACCGAGGCUGCGUGGGGCAUCGUAACAGCUAGCACAGAGAAACUCUUGCUGUCCUGGACAUGCUAAGUCUCUACAAGGGUGAGCCUAUUUAAUCUGCACAACCAGGUGAGGCAGGUUCUAGCAUUAUUCCCCUUCACAGGUCAGCGUGUAAAGCCCCGCUGAUUCCUAACUGGGGGGCAUUCCCCAAAAGCUGAGAAACAAUGGGCUGGAUGUGAGACCCAGUCUCAGAGGACUGAGUCUUAAAAGGGGGAGAUACACCUCCCAUGUUCUAUUGCUGUUUCUUGACUCUUCUGUCAUUUAGGGGAAAUAAGCACAAUUCAUUCAUUCAUUCAUUCAUUCAUUCAUUCAUCCAUUCUCCUGAAAAAGUUCUCAUUGCCUGUGCCGUAUGUGCUGGGACACUGUGCUAGUGUUUGGGAAUCCCACAGUGAUACCGCUACCCUCUUGAGGCUCUCAGCUGAGUGAGCGAGGCCAUAAGUAGGUGAGCAGUGACCUCACAGAGACAACUGCAUGGAAUCUGUCUCAAGGGUCCCUGAGCACAUGGUGUCCUAUCUCCUUCCUCCUGGGGAGGAGGAGCCAGCUCUGGCAUAUUUUGUAGGGACAAUGGCUUGCCUGAGGUGAGAGGACAAGUACACAGGGCUUCAAGACACUCCCUCCUUCUCAGAAUCCAGGCCCUGUUCCCUGAUUCUUGCAGAAGGAAAGGGUUGCAGCCUGAGUGCUGGGAAAUCAGGGAAGAGAUGGAAAUAGAAGGUAUCCAGCUAGGAAAGGAAGAAGGGUGUGGUCACUGCUGGUGUCAAGGACUUACAUAUAGGAGUCCCUAAGGAAUUUACAGAAGAACUAUUUCAAAUAAUAAUAAUAAUAAACAGUAAAAUCUAUAC